rnacentral:rRNA from 1 species
AGAGUCUUCGGGACUCGACGAACUGCUCAGUAAUAUGUGGUUAACCUAACCUGAAGUGGAGGAUAAUCUCGGGAAACUGAGGCUAAUACUCCAUAGGUAUUCUGGUCUGGAAUGAUAGAACACUGAAAGUUCCGACGCUUCAGGACGGGACCAUAUCUUAUCAGCCUGUUGGGGGUGUAAAGAACCUUCAAAGCUAUAACGGGUACGGGCCAUGAGAGUGGAAGCCCGGAGAUGGAUUCUGAGACAUGAAUUCAGGUCCUACGGGACGCAGCAGUUACGAAUCCUUCGCAAUGCUUUAACGAGCGACGAGGGAACCUGGAGUGUUCAUGCUCUGCAUGAGCUUUUGUCCACUUCAAACAGGUGGACGAAUAAGGGGUGGGUAAUACGAGUGCCAGCCGCCGCGGUAAUACUCGAGCCCCGAGUGGUAUUCAUGAUUAGUGGGUCUAAAGCGUCCGUAGCCGGUUCAGUAAGUCCUCAGUGGAAUUCUUUGGCAAACUGAAGAGCUUGCUGAGGAUACUACCGAGCUUGGGACUGGGAGAGGAUAGAGGUACUCCCGGGGGAGGGGUAAAAUCCUAUAAUCCUGGGGGGACCACCUGUGGCGAAGGCUUCUAUCUAGAACAGGUUCGACGGUGAGGGACGAAACCUAGGGGAGCGAUCGGGAUUAGAUA